rnacentral:rRNA from 1 species
AACGAACGCUGGCGGCAGGCUUAACACAUGCAAGUCGAACGGGCACCUUCGGGUGUCAGUGGCAGACGGGUGAGUAACGCGUGGGAACGUACCCUUCGGUUCGGAAUAACCCAGGGAAACUUGGGCUAACACCGGAUACGUCCGCAAGGAGAAGAUUUAUCGCCGAAGGAUCGGCCCGCGUCGGAUUAGCUAGUUGGUGGGUAAUGGCCCACCAAGGCGACGAUCCGUAGCUGGUCUGAGAGGAUGANCAGCCACACUGGGACUGAGACACGGCCCAGACUCCUACGGGAGGCANCAGUGGGGAAUAUUGGACAAUGGGCGAAAGCCUGAUCCAGCCAUGCCGCGU